UACGUAGGGGCUAGCGUUGUCCGGAUUUAUUGGGCGUAAAGAGCGUGUAGGCGGCCAGGUAGGUCUGCUGUGAAAACUCGAGGCUCAACCUCGAGACGUCGGCGGAAACCAUCUGGCUAGAGUCCGGAAGAGGAGAGUGGAAUUCCUGGUGUAGCGGUGAAAUGCGCAGAUAUCAGGAAGAACACCCGGUGGCGAAGGCGG
rnacentral:rRNA from 1 species